UCGAGCGGAAACGAGUUAUCUGAACCUUCGGGGGACGAUAACGGCGUCGAGCGGCGGACGGGUGAGUAAUGCCUAGGAAAUUGCCCUGAUGUGGGGGAUAACCAUUGGAAACGAUGGCUAAUACCGCAUAAUACCUACGGGUCAAAGAGGGGGACCUUCGGGCCUCUCGCGUCAGGAUAUGCCUAGGUGGGAUUAGCUAGUUGGUGAGGUAAUGGCUCACCAAGGCGACGAUCCCUAGCUGGUCUGAGAGGAUGAUCAGCCACACUGGAACUGAGACACGGUCCAGACUCCUACGGGAGGCAGCAGUGGGGAAUAUUGCACAAUGGGCGCAAGCCUGAUGCAGCCAUGCCGCGUGUGUGAAGAAGGCCUUCGGGUUGUAAAGCACUUUCAGUCGUGAGGAAGGUAGUGUAGUUAAUAGCUGCAUUAUUUGACGUUAGCGACAGAAGAAGCACCGGCUAACUCCGUGCCAGCAGCCGCGGUAAUACGGAGGGUGCGAGCGUUAAUCGGAAUUACUGGGCGUAAAGCGCAUGCAGGUGGUUUGUUAAGUCAGAUGUGAAAGCCCGGGGCUCAACCUCGGAAUAGCAUUUGAAACUGGCAGACUAGAGUACUGUAGAGGGGGGUAGAAUUUCAGGUGUAGCGGUGAAAUGCGUAGAGAUCUGAAGGAAUACCGGUGGCGAAGGCGGCCCCCUGGACAGAUACUGACACUCAGAUGCGAAAGCGUGGGGAGCAAACAGGAUUAGAUACCCUGGUAGUCCACGCCGUAAACGAUGUCUACUUGGAGGUUGUGGCCUUGAGCCGUGGCUUUCGGAGCUAACGCGUUAAGUAGACCGCCUGGGGAGUACGGUCGCAAGAUUAAAACUC
rnacentral:rRNA from 1 species